GGUGACAGAGCAAAACGUUUGAAAGUGUGGGCUCACUUCACUAAAUUUAAUGAAAAUGCAGCUAAAUGCAAUAUAUGUAAAAAGGUAGUUGCAUGUAAAGGGGAUAACACCAGCAACCUCAUGAAACACAAAUACAACAUUCUAUAAAUCAGUAUCGACAUCGAUAAAGUCCUAACGAUACCCAUCCCUAUUGUUUACUGUAUACAUGCCAAUGAAAAAAGGGCUGAAUGCCAUUUUUUCAUACAGAAAGACCGCUCUCCUCUUUCAGAUUAACAUUCUGCAUUAUAUUCAGUUUUCCAUGUUGGAAUGGGCAGUCGCUCCAUGAAAAGACUGGAAGACUCCUAUCAACCCAGUUCUCCUGGCACAGAUUGGGCCCACAUCCUUGGCACCUGGUCUAUCAUACUGGCUACCAAAAGACGAGGAGAUGCACGCAAGACACCAUCCUGGACUCGGAACUACCCUUUAUGACCAAUUCAGACUUGGGAGCACUGUUGAUUUCUACCAGAGCUUUCUUUUUCUCUAGUUGGUAUUUUGACUGCACUAAGGCACUGGCGCCAAGAAAGUGUAAAGGAAAACACGCACGAGACCACAUCCAUUUUCAGACCCACAGAAAUCUGAGCACAAACCUAGAAUCAGCUCUGUGGCCUUUCAGUGGGAAAGGAGGGAAAACAUCUGAGCAGCCGCUCUCCAUCCUCUGGAUCAGACGUGGUCCAGGUUGGUGGUCCAGGCUGUGUUGUGGCAGAGGAGGAGGUG